rnacentral:rRNA from 1 species
CCUACGGGAGGCAGCAGUGGGGAAUAUUGCACAAUGGGCGAAAGCCUGAUGCAGCAACGCCGCGUGAAGGAAGAAGGGUUUCGGCUCGUAAACUUCUAUCAUCAGGGACGAAAGAAAUGACGGUACCUGAAUAAGAAGCCCCGGCUAACUACGUGCCAGCAGCCGCGGUAAUACGUAGGGGGCAAGCGUUAUCCGGAAUUACUGGGUGUAAAGGGUGAGUAGGCGGCAUGGUAAGCCAGAUGUGAAAGCCUUGGGCUUAACCCGAGGAUUGCAUUUGAAACUAUAAAGCUAGAGUGCAGGAGAGGAAAACGGAAUUCCUAGUGUAGCGGUGAAAUGCGUAGAGAUUAGGAAGAACACCAGUGGCGAAGGCGGCUUUCUGGACUGUAACUGACGCUGAGGCACGAAAGCGUGGGGAGCGAACAGGAUUAGAUACCCCAGUAGUC